rnacentral:rRNA from 1 species
GACGAACGCUGGCGGCGUGCUUAACACAUGCAAGUCGAACGGAAAGGCCCUGCUUUUGUGGGGUGCUCGAGUGGCGAACGGGUGAGUAACACGUGAGUAACCUGCCCUUGACUUUGGGAUAACUUCAGGAAACUGGGGCUAAUACCGGAUAGGAGCUCCUGCUGCAUGGUGGGGGUUGGAAAGUUUCGGCGGUUGGGGAUGGACUCGCGGCUUAUCAGCUUGUUGGUGGGGUAGUGGCUUACCAAGGCUUUGACGGGUAGCCGGCCUGAGAGGGUGACCGGCCACAUUGGGACUGAGAUACGGCCCAGACUCCUACGGGAGGCAGCAGUGGGGAAUAUUGCACAAUGGGCGGAAGCCUGAUGCAGCAACGCCGCGUGCGGGAUGACGGCCUUCGGGUUGUAAACCGCUUUCGCCUGUGACGAAGCGUGAGUGACGGUAAUGGGUAAAGAAGCACCGGCUAACUACGUGCCAGCAGCCGCGGUGAUACGUAGGGUGCGAGCGUUGUCCGGAUUUAUUGGGCGUAAAGGGCUCGUAGGUGGUUGAUCGCGUCGGAAGUGUAAUCUUGGGGCUUAACCCUGAGCGUGCUUUCGAUACGGGUUGACUUGAGGAAGGUAGGGGAGAAUGGAAUUCCUGGUGGAGCGGUGGAAUGCGCAGAUAUCAGGAGGAACACCAGUGGCGAAGGCGGUUCUCUGGGCCUUUCCUGACGCUGAGGAGCGAAAGCGUGGGGAGCGAACAGGCUUAGAUACCCUGGUAGUCCACGCUGUAAACGGUGGGUACUAGGUGUGGGGUCCAUUCCACGGGUUCCGUGCCGUAGCUAACGCUUUAAGUACCCCGCCUGGGGAGUACGGCCGCAAGGCUAAAACUCAAAGGAAUUGACGGGGCCCCGCACAAGCGGCGGAGCAUGCGGAUUAAUUCGAUGCAACGCGUAGAACCUUACCUGGGUUUGACAUGGAUCGGGAGUGCUCAGAGAUGGGUGUGCCUCUUUUGGGGUCGGUUCACAGGUGGUGCAUGCCUGUCGUCAGCUCGUGUCGUGAGAUGUUGGGUUAAGUCCCGCAACGAGCGCAACCCUUGUUCACUGUUGCCAGCACGUUAUGGUGGGGACUCAGUGGAGACCGCCGGGGUCAACUCGGAGGAAGGUGGGGAUGACGUCAAGUCAUCAUGCCCCUUAUGUCCAGGGCCUCACGCAUGCUACAAUGGCUGGUACAGAGAGUGGCGAGCCUGUGAGGGUGAGCGAAUCUCGGAAAGCCGGUCUCAGUUCGGAUUGGGGUCUGCAACUCGACCUCAUGAAGUCGGAGUCGCUAGUAAUCGCAGAUCAGCAACGCUGCGGUGAAUACGUUCCCGGG